AAGGGGUGUAUUUAUUAGAUUAAAAACCAAUGCCCUUCGGGGCUCUUUGGUGAAUCAUAAUAACUCAACGAAUCGCAGGGCCUUGCGCCGGCGAUGGUUCAUUCAAACUUCUGCCCUAUCAACUUUCGAUGGUAGGAUAGUGGUACGUACUUGCGAUCUUGUAAUAAAAUCCGAUGCUAACUGGGACACCUAUAGGCCUACCAUGGUGUCAACGGGUAACGGAGGAUUAGGGUUCGAUUCCGGAGAGGGAGCCUGAGAAACGUAAGUCUUAUUAUUCUCCUUUUCCCCCGGUUGGUCCUCUCCGUUGUCCGCGCUGAUUGCCGCGGGGGAGGCACCUAUUAUAUUUCGCCUAAAUGCUAUGAAUCCGUAUACUAAUAUGCCGUUUUACAGGGCUACCACAUCCAAGGAAGGCAGCAGGCGCGCAAAUUACCCAAUCCCGACACGGGGAGGUAGUACGUUGGCCCUCUAAUCCCUCGGCCAAAUCAAAAUAACUGACAGUUCAACUAGGUGACAAUAAAUAUUAAUCUUGGGCUCCUUUUGGGUCUGAGAAUUGAAAUGAGAACGAGUUAAAUCUCCUAUCGAGGAACAAUUGGAGGGCAAGUCUGGUGCCAGCAGCCGCGGUAAUUCCAGCUCCAAUAGCGUAUAUUAAAGUUGUUGCAGUUAAAAAGCUCGUAGUUGAACCUUGGGCCUGGUUGGCCGGUCCGCCUCACCGCGUGCACUGGUUCGGCCGGGCCUUUCUUUCUGGGGAGCCACAUGCCCUUCGCUGGGUGUGUCGGGGAACCAGGACUUUUACUUUGAAAAAAUUAGAGUGU
rnacentral:misc_RNA from 1 species